UAGCUCACUUCGUAAAGCAAGGCGCUUGCAACGCCAGGGUUGUGGGUUCGAUUCCCAU
rnacentral:tRNA from 1 species